rnacentral:rRNA from 1 species
AGUACGGGUGGCUGCAGUGGGGAAUAUUGCACAAUGGGCGCAAGCCUGAUGCAGCCAUGCCGCGUGUGUGAAGAAGGCCUUCGGGUUGUAAAGCACUUUCAGCGGGGAGGAAGGCGGUGAGGUUAAUAACCUCAUCGAUUGACGUUACCCGCAGAAGAAGCACCGGCUAACUCCGUGCCAGCAGCCGCGGUAAUACGGAGGGUGCAAGCGUUAACCGGAAUUACUGGGCGUAAAGCGCACGCAGGCGGGCUGUCAAGUCGGAUGUGAAAUCCCCGGGCUCAACCUGGGAACUGCAUUCGAAACUGGCUGGCUAGAGUCUUGUAGAGGGGGGUAGAAUUCCAGGUGUAGCGGUGAAAUGCGUAGAGAUCUGGAGGAAUACCGGUGGCGAAGGCGGCCCCCUGGACAAAGACUGACGCUCAGGUGCGAAAGCGUGGGGAGCAAACAGGAUUAGAUACCCGAGUAGUC